rnacentral:misc_RNA from 1 species
UUGGCUCUUAUGGAUGGUCUGGCUGAAGCUUUACAGCAUAACAUUCGCCGAGUGUAUGCUUUUACUGAUUCUGAUAUGUUAUAUGAUCAGAUGAUGCACGAGGAAAAAGUUGAGAUCCCGCUUCUGAUUGCUUUGAGGCAAAGGAUCCUUGAACAUGCCAGUAACCUGGAAACCUUUGUACUCAAAGUCAUUCCCAUAUUUGAUCUUGAGAGGCCAUUGCAUUUAGCCCAAGUAGCAGUUGGGGUUGUCUCUUUUCCUGCCAAUGGAAAUAAAUCACGUGACAACUGUUCUAUCUGUUGUGAGGAAAAGAUAUCACCAAUGAUGAUUGCAAUGAAAUGUUCUCACAAAUUCUGUUCACAGUGUAUGAGAACCUAUGUUGAUGGAAAAAUAAAGUCAUCUCAAGUACCAAUCAGAUGC